rnacentral:rRNA from 1 species
GACGAACGCUGGCGGCGUGCUUAACACAUGCAAGUCGAACGGAGUGGCGAACGGGUGAGUAACACGUGGGUGACCUGCCCUGCACUUCGGGAUAAGCCUGGGAAACUGGGGCUAAUACCGGAUAGUGUGGGAUGGGCCCGCGGCCUAUCAGCUUGUUGGUGGGGUAAUGGCCUACCAAGGCGGCGACGGGUAGCCGGCCUGGGAGGGGGGACGGCCACCUUGGGACUGCGACACGGGCCAGACUCCUACGGGAGGCAGCAGUGGGGAAGAUUGUACAAUGGGCGGAAGCGUGAUGCAGCGACGUCGCGUGUGGGAUGACGGCCUUCGGGUGGUAAACUCCUUUCACCAUCGACGCGGUAGAUGGAGAAGAAGCACCGGCUAACUACGUGCCAGCAGCCGCGGUAAUUC